rnacentral:rRNA from 1 species
UACGUAGGGGGCAAGCGUUGUCCGGAUUUAUUGGGCGUAAAGAGCGUGUAGGCGGCCUUACAGGUCAGCUGUGAAAACUCGAGGCUCAACCUCGAGAGGUCGGUUGAAACCGUAAGGCUAGAGUCCGGAAGAGGAGAGUGGAAUUCUCGGUGUAGCGGUGAAAUGCGUAGAUAUCGAGAGGAACACCUGCGGCGAAGGCGGGUUGCUGGGCCGACACUGACGCUGAUGCGCGAAAGCCAGGGGAGCGAACGGG